GACGAACGCUGGCGGCGUGCUUAACACAUGCAAGUCGAACGGAAAGGCCCCUUUGGGGGUCCUCGAGUGGCGAACGGGUGAGUAACACGUGAGUAACCUGCCCUUGACUUCGGGAUAACUUCAGGAAACUGGGGCUAAUACCGGAUAGGAAUCCUUGCUGCAUGGUGGGGGUUGGAAAGCUUCGGCGGUUUUGGAUGGACUCGCGGCUUAUCAGCUUGUUGGUGGGGUAGUGGCUUACCAAGGCUUUGACGGGUAGCCGGCCUGGGGGGGCGACCGGCCACACUGGGACUGAGAGACGGCACAGACUCCUACGGGAGGCAGCAGUGGGGAAGAUUGCACAAGGGGCGGAAGCCUGAUGCAGCAACGCCGCGUGCGGGAUGACGGCCUUAGGGUUGUAAACCGCUUUCAGCAGGGGCGAAGCUUGUGGUGACGGUACCUGCAGAAGAAGCACCGGCUAACUACGUG
rnacentral:rRNA from 1 species